rnacentral:rRNA from 1 species
UACGUAGGCAGCAAGCGUUGUUCGGAAUUACUGGGCGUAAAGAGUGUGUAGGCGGUGCUCCAAGUCUGGUGUGGAAUCUCCCGGCUUAACUGGGAGGGUGCAUUAGAAACUGGAAUGCUAGAGGAUGGGAGAGGUAAGCGGAAUUCCUGGUGUAGCGGUGAAAUGCGUAGAUAUCAGGAGGAACACCUGUGGUGUAGACAGCUUACUGGACCAUUUCUGACGCUGAGACACGAAAGCGUGGGUAGCAAACAGG